rnacentral:tRNA from 1 species
GUCCCUGUCGUCUAGCGGCCCAGGAUGCUUGGUUCUCAACCACGAGACCGGAGUUCGAAUCUCCGCAGGGACG